rnacentral:snRNA from 1 species
AUACUUACCUGGCAGGGGAGAUACCAUGAUCAUGUAGGUGGUUCACCCAGGGCGAGGCUCAGCCAUUGCACUGAGGCUGUCUGACCUUUGCGAAUUCCCCAAAUGUGGGAAUUGCGACUGCAUAAUUUCUGGUAGUGGGGGACUGCGUUUGCGCUCUCUCCUG